GUGCACGCUGGCGGUAGGCCUAACACAUGCCAGUCGCACGGCAGCACAGUAAGAGCUUGCUCUUACGGGUGGCGAGUGGCGGACGGGUGAGGAAUACAUCGGAAUCUACUUUUUCGUGGGGGAUAACGUAGGGAAACUUACGCUAAUACCGCAUACGACCUACGGGUGAAAGCAGGGGAUCUUCGGACCUUGCGCGAUUGAAUGAGCCGAUGUCGGAUUAGCUAGUUGGCGGGGUAAAGGCCCACCAAGGCGACGAUCCGUAGCUGGUCUGAGAGGAUGAUCAGCCACACUGGAACUGAGACACGGUCCAGACUCCUACGGGAGGCAGCAGUGGGGAAUAUUGGACAAUGGGCGCAAGCCUGAUCCAGCCAUACCGCGUGGGUGAAGAAGGCCUUCGGGUUGUAAAGCCCUUUUGUUGGGAAAGAAAAGCAGCAGGUUAAUACCCCGCUGUUCUGACGGUACCCAAAGAAUAAGCACCGGCUAACUUCGU
rnacentral:rRNA from 1 species